rnacentral:rRNA from 1 species
CCUACGGGCGGCAGCAGUGGGGAAUAUUGGACAAUGGGGGGAACCCUGAUCCAGCCAUGCCGCGUGUGUGAAGAAGGCCCUCGGGUUGUAAAGCACUUUCAGUGAGGAAGAACGCCUGGUGGUUAAUACCCAUCAGGAAAGACAUCACUCACAGAAGAAGCACCGGCUAACUCCGUGCCAGCAGCCGCGGUAAUACGGAGGGUGCGAGCGUUAAUCGGAAUUACUGGGCGUAAAGCGCGCGUAGGUGGCUUGAUAAGCCGGUUGUGAAAGCCCCGGGCUCAACCUGGGAACGGCAUCCGGAACUGUCAAGCUAGAGUGCAGGAGAGGAAGGUAGAAUUCCCGGUGUAGCGGUGAAAUGCGUAGAGAUCGGGAGGAAUACCAGUGGCGAAGGCGGCCUUCUGGACUGACACUGACACUGAGGUGCGAAAGCGUGGGUAGCAAACAGGAUUAGAUACCCGUGUAUC